rnacentral:rRNA from 1 species
AUGUCGUUCCACCGCGGCAGCAGCUUCGGCACCGACGGCGACGACGGACCGAGCGCGUGGCCGUCGAGCCUGAGCACGCCGGAGACAGAGGAGCUGUACCGGUUUGGGCUCCUCGUGCCGCCGGGUUGCCGUCUGCCGCACGACUGGAAACUCGACAAGGACGGUUACCUGAGGCGCGGGCCCGGCGCCACCGCGGAGGAGAAGCGGACCGGCGGCCGCAACAACAUCGCCGGCCGUCACGCGUUCUGGGACGGCGAAGACUACGCCGCCGUCAUCGGCGCGUACCGGCUGGCGGAGUCCAGCGUCACGCCAGACCUCAUCGGCGACCGCCGCCGCCUUCUUGUCCCGCGCCCCCGUCCAGAAGCGCGCCGCCGUCGGGCCCCUCCACCACCUGCGCCGGUGCCCGCCGAUCCCCCGCCCCGCCGGAGGUGGAACUGCCGCCGGAGCAGUUGGUUCUUCGGGAGGACGGCGAUCCCGACGAUAUGCCGGGUUACCUCGUCGCCCUGCGGGCGUCGGUGGCUGCAGCGGCGGCUACGAGGGAGGCCGCCGAGGUGGAGGUCCCGCAGGCGGAGGCGGAGGCGUCGGAGUCGUCGGACGAAGAUGCCAUCGACUGGGAGCGCGGAGACGUGCGACCGAGGGUCCCCUCCGCCCAUACCGAAAACCACCCCCUUCCACAGCAAAAAAUCUCGACCGGUGUUGGACAAUAGCACGACCGACGUUUAUGUCACGUCGGGUGGGUAUUGGUUGCAAACUGAUCACCGCGGGCUCGAGGCAGUAAAUAUCUCCACGAGCCGUCGCUAUCUGAGGGAAUAUUCCCGACAAUCUCGGACGUCGGUGCCCAAUCAACGUCGUGCGUGCCCUUUCCACCUCAUAUGUGUCGAUGACGCGCCCGAUCUGAUCCGGCCCGCCGUCACCCCCCGUGUCCACCAUCACCCCACAGUGCUCGCCGUCAAUUACCGCCGUCACCCGCAUUGGUCGUCGUCAGCGCCCGCCGUCGUUCGAACUGGUCGCCGUCAGCGCCCGCCGUCACCCGCACUGGUCGUCAUCAGCGCCCACCGUCGCCCGAACUGGUCGCCGUCAGCGCCCGCCGUCACCCACACGGGUCGCCGUCAGCGCAUGCCGUCACCCGCACUGCUCGUCGUCACCCAAACUGGUCGCCGUGAGAUAGAGAUGGAGGGCAUGUUACGAAUACCUUCGGUGAAGAUGCGUGAUAAUUUUCUUGCGCUUAUGAUUCAAGGUUUCAACCCAAGUAAUAAAAAAAUCAUGGUACAAGAGGCAGCCGAAAAGAAAGGGUUGAUUUCACUGAGGCCUGAUGAUGUAUUCGCUAUUUUUGGUUUGAAGAACGAAGGAGUGGAUGUUUCUAGUUUUUUGAGUAUGGACCAAGGGAAAGCAGUCAAGAAAAUUCCAGUUAGUUUUGUUAACAGAAAGACUGGUAAAAUUUUGAUUGAUGAUCUCAUUCAGAAGAUUGUGAGAAAUAAAAAUGCGGACGAUGAAUUUGUUCGGAUGGCGUUUCUCGUCCUGUUAGGGACUAUAAUUGCACCAGUGUUUGAUGAGUACAUACCAAAGAAUUAUUAUGCGCUAGUGCAAGAUGCCAGGUCGAUAAAAAAGUUCAACUGGAACGCAUUCACUUUGCGGUUUUGUUUGUCGGAGAUUGGUAUGGUCUUGCAGCCCGGCCGUUUUAGGGAAUGGCCACGUGGCAACCUAGCACUUCUUCAGAAGGUGCAGUCAAUGACCGGUCCGCAGUAUGAUCCAUUAGCGUUGUUGAGCCCCUUGAUGAGGAAAUGGAUAGAAAAGGCAGCGGAGAAAAGGGGCAAGUACGAUUUCCAAUAUGGUCGUGGUGUUGGGAUGAUCGAUGACACCAUUACUGAAGAGUACCGACUAAACAAAAUAAGAGUGGAACAAGCUGAAAAAAACAAGAAUUCCAGUACGAAAAAGUCUAACAUUACAGGAAGGAGAAAAGGUGUGAGUACAUCUCAGACCUCCGCUAGCCAGAACCCUAUUAUGUAUCGGUUUAUGACUGAGCUGAAGCACAUUCGUAAGGACAUGCUUCGUUUGCCAGAGCAAUGCGCACAGAGGAUGAUAGAGAAAUUGAACAAAAGCGGUGUGUUCUACAAAGCUGGUGAUAGUGAAAAAGAAGAAGAGAAUGAGUAUGGCGGAGUCCGCGGAGGAACGCGGCGACGAAGAUCACGGGUCGGCCACCAUCUGGGCGACGGGAAAGGAACGCGGCGGCGGCGGCAACGGUGCCGGGGCAUGCGCGGGGGCCUAUUUGGGCAGCAGCCGGGCGACGGCGACUUCGUGGAGACAGGGGCCGACAUGGAGACGGCGUGGAUGCGUUUAGGGUUUAGGGUUACGACGGCGGGCAUCAGCGGCUCCUGUGAUGUUUUUUUCAAUAACUAUCGACACAACGUGGAGACGUGCGGGCGUACGGCGGCGACGUACGGCGACUGGUGCGGGUACGCGGGCGGGCGUACGGGGCGCGACGUACAGCGACGGGCGGGCGGAGGGUGUACCGAAGCACUGCCCUUGUUUUCUAGCUUGGAUGAAUCGAGAAAUAAGAGAUUGAGUCACUCCCGGACGCUCUCAGAGCUCAGCGAUCGUGGACCGUCGGAUCCGCCGCCGCCUCCCCUUCCACCAUGGCCGCCGCCCCUCCCCUUCCACCGUGGUCGCCGCCCCCUAUCGCCUGACGGCGAGCCCGCCCUCCCAUCCCCAUUUCCUCUGGUCGCCCUCACGCACUACGUCGCCUCCUGGUCGCCCUCUCUCUCUGUAUUCCCCCUUGCCGCCACCACCACGGCCAACUCCGGCGAGCGCCACAGUCGCCGGUCCACGGCGUCACCAUCAACGCCGACGCUGCGCCUGCACCUCCGAUUGGUCCUCUCCGACCCCGUCCGAACUUUCACGCACUGCAUCGCCUCCUGGUCGCUGUCCAGGCGUCGCCAUCGACUGGAGGAACGCGGGACCGUCGUCCUCGCGUUCGUGCACCUCCAGGAAGAAGACUGCUCGAGCAGCUCCAGAGGGACGAACGUCAAGCUGGUCUGGGAUAUGAGUACGACCCUUGAUUCGUGCCGCCUGUUUUCUCUGCCGAAGUCGUGGUUGCAUGGACGUGGCAAUGGUCGAAGGGUCGUCACCAGGGUGGCACCGGCGCCUCCCUUCCCUCUCCCCUGGAGCUGGAAGGAACCUGCUAUUGAGUUGUUUUACUGGCUUAAUUUGGUCUCUCUGCAACAUCCAGCAGCUCUGUAUCUGAAGAUUGUCACCAUUUCUAUAUACUACAUACUUGUCGCUAUUUUACGUCGCCACACAGAUUUGGUAGUAGCCAUCAACCAUCAUGUCUUCUGGCCUGCAGCUUGCCAACCUCGCCUGUUCGAACUUCGAACCCAAGACGCCACUGCUUCUUCUAGGUCCCGCGGCUUGAUCCCGCCAAGUAGGCUGGAGGAGGAAGCAGAGAGGGAGAUGGGAGAGGGAGAGGAGAUCUCGGCCUGCACACUGCACCUCGCGUCUCCCACAAGCUACAACAACGGGAGAACCGUAUACACAGCAUCCUUCUCAAAGCCUGCAGCUACUGCCUCCCCAAGCAAUGCCAACCUGCAGCAACAAGUCCUAAGGUGA